UACGUAGGGGGCAAGCGUUGUCCGGAUUCACUGGGCGUAAAGGGUGCGCAGGCGGUCGGGUGUGUCAGAUGUGAAAUCCCGAGGCUCAACCUCGGAACUGCGUCUGAAACUACUCGACUAGAGUACUGGAGAGGGUAACGGAAUUCACGGUGUAGCAGUGAAAUGCGUAGAUAUCGUGAGGAACACCAGAGGCGAAGGCGGUUACCUGGACAGUUACUGACGCUCAGGCACGAAAGCGUGGGAGCAAACAGG
rnacentral:rRNA from 1 species